CGCAGCGUCUGGGAGGAUGCAGAGGCGGAGCCGCCUGAGCCGGCUUGUGGUCACUUAUUCUGGGAAAGACAGAUGCCAUGUCACUGAAGACAUUCAAGCAGCUUCACAGAGAGGUCCACAUGUGUAAGAAUUCUCAAGAAAGAUGAACCAGACAAUUGCCAAGAGACGCACCAAAUAUCUCUUUCGUGUUAUAAGACUUGAAUUUCUAAAGAGGAAGCAGAAGACAAACGCAUAGCAACU